ACGGGAGGCAGCAGUGGGGGAUAUUGCACAAUGGAGGAAACUCUGAUGCAGCAACGCCGCGUGAGGGAAGACGGUCUUCGGAUUGUAAACCUAAGUUAACAGGGACGAAUAAAAUGACGGUACCUGAAGAGAAAGCUCCGGCUAACUACGUGCCAGCAGCCGCGGUAAUACGUAGGGAGCGAGCGUUGUCCGGAUUUACUGGGUGUAAAGGGUGCGUAGGCGGGUUUGCAAGUCAGGCGUGAAAUCCCACGGCUUAACUGUGGGGCUGCGCUUGAAACUGUAGAUCUUGAGUGAAGUAGAGGCAAGCGGAAUUCCUAGUGUAGCGGUGAAAUGCGUAGAUAUUAGGAGGAACACCGGUGGCGAAGGCGGCUUGCUGGGCUUUUACUGACGCUGAGGCUCGAAAGCGUGGGUAGCAAACAGGAUUAGAUACCCUGGUA
rnacentral:rRNA from 1 species